rnacentral:lncRNA from 1 species
GUUGGAUUUUAUCAAAUACUUUUUCUGCUUCUAUUGAGAGGAAUCAUGUGAUUUUGAUCCUUGAUUCUAUUUAUAUGUUUAUGAAUUUGUAUGCAUUGAACCAUCCUUCCAUUCCUGAAAUGAAAUCACCUUGAUCAUGAUAAAUGACCUUUUUUAAUGAGUUGUUAAAUUUGACUUGCUAAUAUUUUACUGAAGAUUUUUCAUCCAUAUUCAUCAAGGAUAUUGGUCUAUAGUUUUGUUUCCUUGAAAUGUCCUUAUCCAAUUUUGCUAUCAGGGUGAUUGGCUUUAUAGAAUGAAAUUGGAAGUGUUCCCUCCCUUUCUGUUUUAAGGGAUAAUUGGAAAAGUAUUGGAAUUAGUUUUUUAAAGAUCUGGUAGAAUUCAACUAUUUGUCUGUGUGGUCCUGGGCUUUUCUUUGUUGAGGGGAUUUUUCUUACAGCUUCAAUAUGUUGGUGGUAAUUGGUCUGUUUAGGUUUUCUCUAUUAUGAUUCUGUUUUGGUAAGUCAGAUGUGUCUAGAAAUUUGUGUUUUUUUUUUCUAGAUUUUCCAAUAUUAGAAUAUAGAUUUUCAAAAUAGUAACUAAUGAUCUAUAUUUCAGUUGUGCCUCUUGUAAUAUAUCAAUUUUCACCUCCAAUUUUGUUAAUUUGGGUCUUUCUUUUUGUUAGUUUGGCUAAAGGUUUUUCAAAAAACCAAUUUUUUCAUUAGCCACUUGUAUUUUUUGUUUCAUUUUCAUUUAUUUAUACUCUAUUAUUUAUUUCUACCUAUUUUGGGAUUGGUUCUUUUUUGUGAGAAUUUGAGGCCCAUUGUUAGUUUAUUUGAGAUCACAAUUUAUUUUAUGUGAGCACGCAUAGUUCUAAACUUCCCUUUUGUAAAUGCAUUUGCUAUAUCCCCCAGAUUCUGUUAUAAUGUGUUUCCAUUUUCAUUUUUAAUAAUAAGAAUUUUUAAAUUCCUUCUCUGAUUUCUUCAAUGAUACAUUCAUUGUAUUGGGGAAUAUUAGUCCCUUUGUAUUGAGAAAUGUUUAUUUUAUGAAAUUGGGUAGCAAUAUGUUCUUUGUCUCUUUAGAUGGAUUUUGGCUUGAAGUCUGCUUUGUCUUAUAUGAGAGUAGCUACUCCUGUUUGUAUUGCAGAUUCCAUUUGUAUGGAAUAUCAUUUUUCAUCCUUUUACUUUCAGUCUUUGAAUGUCUUUGUCUCUGAGGUGUGUUUCUUGAAGUGAACAUACAGUUGGGUCUUGUUUUUAAUCUAAUCUGCUAGUCUGUCUUUUAAUUGGAGAAUUAGGACCAUUUAUAUUUAGUGUUAUCAUAGAGAGGUAUGAGUUAUCUCCUAUCAUUUUCUUUUAUUUCUAAUGAUUAAAUCAUUCCAUGUGCUUAUCUAAUGAGAUGUAUUCUCUCCCAUACUUUCUUGCUUAUUUUUUAUUUUCCUCUUUGCUCUGCAGGAUUCCUU